UGUGGGCCCGAGGGUCCAUAGAUGACGUUAUCAGUUCAUAGGCAUUUAGUCUGGUGUUCGAGGAAAACAAGGGUGCAGCUUAAGCGAAAAGAAAAACGUCUUAUUGCUAGUGUCUAAACUCAUAACAGCAGAAUGUGUUCCGACUAU
rfam:Pteropus vampyrus cont1.194831, whole genome shotgun sequence.